rnacentral:rRNA from 1 species
CUCAGGAUGAACGCUAGCUACAGGCUUAACACAUGCAAGUCGAGGGGCAGCAUGGUCUUAGCUUGCUAAGGCCGAUGGCGACCGGCGCACGGGUGAGUAACACGUAUCCAACCUGCCGUCUACUCUUGGACAGCCUUCUGAAAGGAAGAUUAAUACAAGAUGGCAUCAUGAGUCCGCAUGUUCACAUGAUUAAAGGUAUUCCGGUAGACGAUGGGGAUGCGUUCCAUUAGAUAGUAGGCGGGGUAACGGCCCACCUAGUCUUCGAUGGAUAGGGGUUCUGAGAGGAAGGUCCCCCACAUUGGAACUGAGACACGGUCCAAACUCCUACGGGAGGCAGCAGUGAGGAAUAUUGGUCAAUGGGCGAGAGCCUGAACCAGCCAAGUAGCGUGAAGGAUGACUGCCCUAUGGGUUGUAAACUUCUUUUAUAAAGGAAUAAAGUCGGGUAUGGAUACCCGUUUGCAUGUACUUUAUGAAUAAGGAUCGGCUAACUCCGUGCCAGCAGCCGCGGUAAUACGGAGGAUCCGAGCGUUAUCCGGAUUUAUUGGGUUUAAAGGGAGCGUAGAUGGAUGUUUAAGUCAGUUGUGAAAGUUUGCGGCUCAACCGUAAAAUUGCAGUUGAUACUGGAUAUCUUGAGUGCAGUUGAGGCAGGCGGAAUUCGUGGUGUAGCGGUGAAAUGCUUAGAUAUCACGAAGAACUCCGAUUGCGAAGGCAGCCUGCUAAGCUGCAACUGACAUUGAGGCUCGAAAGUGUGGGUAUCAAACAGGAUUAGAUACCCUGGUAGUCCACACGGUAAACGAUGAAUACUCGCUGUUUGCGAUAUACUGCAAGCGGCCAAGCGAAAGCGUUAAGUAUUCCACCUGGGGAGUACGCCGGCAACGGUGAAACUCAAAGGAAUUGACGGGGGCCCGCACAAGCGGAGGAACAUGUGGUUUAAUUCGAUGAUACGCGAGGAACCUUACCCGGGCUUAAAUUGCAGAUGAAUUACGGUGAAAGCCGUAAGCCGCAAGGCAUCUGUGAAGGUGCUGCAUGGUUGUCGUCAGCUCGUGCCGUGAGGUGUCGGCUUAAGUGCCAUAACGAGCGCAACCCUUGUUGUCAGUUACUAACAGGUUCCGCUGAGGACUCUGACAAGACUGCCAUCGUAAGAUGUGAGGAAGGUGGGGAUGACGUCAAAUCAGCACGGCCCUUACGUCCGGGGCUACACACGUGUUACAAUGGGGGGUACAGAGGGCCGCUACCACGCGAGUGGAUGCCAAUCCCCAAAACCUCUCUCAGUUCGGACUGGAGUCUGCAACCCGACUCCACGAAGCUGGAUUCGCUAGUAAUCGCGCAUCAGCCACGGCGCGGUGAAUACGUUCCCGGGCCUUGUACACACCGCCCGUCAAGCCAUGGGAGCCGGGGGUACCUGAAGUGCGUAACCGCGAGGAGCGCCCUAGGGUAAAACUGG